rnacentral:tRNA from 2 species
CGGGGUGUAGUAUAACGGUAUUACGCCGGCUUCGGGAGUCGGUAACCCGAGUUCAACUCUCGGCACCCCGACCA